UUUCUGAGUUAGCGGAGUGUAUAACCUGAAGCGUAUGUAACCCGAGGUACCACUGUAUACUCUUUUCGGUGACAUUCCUGUUCAGACAAGCCUACUCAUAUGCUUAGGAAGUUGAGGUAAUUUUAGUCUGUUUAGUAGUUUAACAUGUAAGUUUAAAAGUAGAAUUGUAAUUUUUUCUUGCUUUUACUGGUUUAUCUUUUGUAAACCACUCUGUUAUUAUUAUUUUUUACAAUCAAACAGUGUACAAAUUUUAUGAAACAGCUAUAUACAUGUAUGUAUAUGAUCUCUGCAGUGGUUUCCAGGCUCGCCCCGCCCCCAGCCACUUGAAAAUUGCUGAGAGUCUUGGCAGGUCACAAUUUUGCUACUGCUUGUAGCAAUUGUAAUGCACUGGGCUAGAUGCUGUGUGAUUUUUAAUUGUAUUUCUAUUGCUACUUUUAUUUUUUAUAGUGGGUGUCAUUGUAUUGCAAUCUAAAUUCCAUAGAAUUCAAACUGUAAUACAAUAAAAUGCAAUAUAAAGAUAAAAGAAUCAAUAGAAAUGCAGUUAAAUAAUCAAUAUGAAUAUUUAUUACAGACACACCGUGGAUCACCUGAAAGACACUGUGGAUGUACUGCAGAAGGCUAGUAUGUGAGAAGGGCAGAAAUAAUAGUACGAAUAUGUAAAAUGUUAUCUUCGUGAAAGAGGAAAGCACUGAGGAUUCUGACACUCACAUCAUUAUAGGACUUUAUAGCAAAGCAUCUCCCUUCUCCAUAGCUGGCACAAAUGAAUUUUAGGAUGGAAGCCUUGAUUAUGAAACCUCACCAUCUGCUUUGCUUAUGGCUUCAUGCUGAUUGAUUUUCAUAUGGAAAGAACAUCAAAGGGAUUGUGACAGGACAUUCCGUUUCAAGGCAGUCCCAGAAUCCUCUGCUGCUGCUUCUUUUCCUGCAGAAGUCACUAGCAAGAAUGCCAAUUAGUGCCAACUGCAAAGAUGAUAAUAAUGUGUAACAUAGAGCUCAAUGUACCCUCCUUAAACGUGGCAGUCCUAAAACCAGGAAUAUCAUUUCAAAUUGUAGCUGGUAGGUGCCACAGCACCUACUUUAGGGAUGGGUGAACAACCUUACUUCCUUCAGAUUCACAUUUUUCUGAUCUUAAGUUUGGUUUUCCACAUUUUCACAUCAGCCUUGGUUUGUAUCUUUUUGGGGGCGGGG